CCUCCAGCACGUCCAGCACCUCCAGCUGGUUCCUGUGAACACACACACUCAGAAUCUAGGUCCUGCACCUGGAGACGCUGCGUGUUGAGGACAGUCUGGUUCUCACCCUUCCUCCUUGAAGAAGAGAAGCCAGUUUUUUUGGAAGCCUUGCCGGCGGGUUGAUCCCCGUCUGGAGACAGCAGCAGCCUCCGCACGGCGCCCGUCACCAGGUCCACGUGGAGCACCGUGUUACUCUGGUGAAUAAAGCAGAAUGAAAGAUUUUAAACUCCUGAGUGAUUCUGGCCUUAGUGAAGUAAACAUACUUCCACCUGCAGACGCCAGGCCUCUGCACAGUGAUUCUAACGUUUCUAGUUUAACAACUGAAAUCAUAACCAGCACUAGUACAGAUUCCUCUUUGCAUCAUGACCCAUGGAAAUCUCAAGCUUAACAAACAGAUGAUGAAAACAAAACCUCUUUGUUCAACGUAAAAAAUGGAACAAAUAUCAAUGGACAGAGAUAAUGAUUGAAAUACGUGGUUUAUUAAAUGUGAUGAUCAUGUUCGGAUGCAGUUUGAUGAAUCCUCCAUUCAUCAUUUUCUAACUAAAUAGAUCAAACACCUAAUUCCAUAAACAACUGUUUUUCAUUCAAGAUCCUUUAAUAAUUCUCUAGAAAUCAGUGACAUCAACAUUAAUAACUUCUUCUUGGGUCUCGUCUCAUCCUGACAUGGAAACCACUCCAGCAGCUCCUGCGUAAUGCUGCUGACUAACAAAUUUCAUUUCUAUUGAUCAUGUUUCAGUGCAGAUCUAUUUAAACCAUCUGCUACCAAUGAUGAAGACGUCAUGUUCACUGUGCAUGGUGAGUCCGUUCACAGCCACCAGGGGGCGCUCUGCUCCACAAGGUUCUGUCUACUGCUGUCCAGAGCCCAGAAGUAUGUGAGUGCACGUGCAGAGGUGUGACAGCAUUGCAGGACAUGCGUGUGUGUGUGCAUGUGCCUGGUGUGUUCCCCGAUUUUCCUGGAAGGCCGAUUGACCG